UGGGGAAUAUUGCGCAAUGGGGGAAACCCUGACGCAGCAACGCCGCGUGAAGGAUGAAGGUUUUCGGAUUGUAAACUUCUUUGAUGAGGGACGAUAAUGACGGUACCUCAAAAACAAGCCACGGCUAACUACGUGCCAGCAGCCGCGGUAAUACGUAGGGGGCAAGCGUUAUCCGGAUUUACUGGGUGUAAAGGGAGCGUAGGUGGUUCGGCAAGUCAGAUGUGAAAGCCCGGGGCUCAACCCCGGGACUGCAUUUGAAACUGUCGGGCUAGAGUGCAGGAGAGGUAAGUGGAAUUCCUAGUGUAGCGGUGAAAUGCGUAGAUAUUAGGAGGAACACCAGUGGCGAAGGCGGCUUACUGGACUGUAACUGACACUGAUGCUCGAAAGCGUGGGGAGCAAACAGG
rnacentral:rRNA from 1 species